rnacentral:lncRNA from 1 species
GUGUGGUGUUGUGUGAGUUCUCCAUGCCUGGGGAAGCGUUCACCCCAGACAAAGCACCUAGAACAGGCUAAAAUAAUCCCACCCGAGUAUAAUUUGUGAACCAGUGAGUUCACUGGAGUGACCUACAGAAGCAAGAGGGACUCAAAGACAAGUUACAUCACCAAAAAGCCUGCACAUCACAGGUGAAAUCUCAGAAAAGAUGCACGCAUGGAGUUCCCCACCCAACCGGCGGCAGGCAGCGCCACUGAAGACCGUCUCCUCUCAGUCAUUUGCUGUCCAUAACUGUGGGCAUGGGCCUUGUGAACCUUUGAACUUUCUGAGCCUUUCGAGUUUCCGUCGUUUCCUGAGUCUUGCCAGCUUCUCUUCUCCUAUUGCCUUUAGAGGAAAUAAACAGGAAUUCCCGAAUCUUGUCUUCUGGGUGAAGUGGAGGUCCCGAAGAUGGAUGACUAACAGCGAGCCUCUGGCCACCAGGAUUGUUCGAAUUCAUGUGCUUAACUCACUUAUCAUAACCCCUGUCCCAGGCACCUCGAUUAUCCAACUCUGUAAAUGCAAACUCAAAGUGAGGCACCGAGGUGCACAGCUGUAAUCCUGCACACUCAGAAGGCUGGGCUAGCCUGGUCUACAUAGAGAGAAGCCCUUUCAAAAUAAAUAAAUGAUUAAAUGAAACAAA